rnacentral:rRNA from 1 species
AAUGAACGUUGGCAGCGUGGAUUAGGCAUGCAAGUCGAGCGACAAGGUGUGAAGUGCUUGCACGGAUCACUGGAGGAGCGGCAAACGGGGUAGUAACGCGUCGGAACGCACCCCUCAGUCCGGGAUAGCUGCGGGAAACUGCAAGUAAUACCGGAUAAUCUCUAGCGAGCAAAGGUCCGCCGCUGGGGGAACGGCCGACGUGAGACUAGGUAGUUGGUGGGGUAAUGGCCUACCAAGCCGAAGAUCUCUAGGGGGUGUGAGAGCAUGGCCCCACACUGGGACUGAGACACUGCCCAGACACCUACGGGUGGCUGCAGUCGAGAAUCUUGUCAAUGGGCGAAAGCCUGAACAAGCGACGCUGCGUGCGGGAUGAAGGCCCUUGGGUUGUAACCGCUGUCAGGGGGAGCAAAGCUU